AAUCAACGCUGGCGGCGUGCCUAACACAUGCAAGUCGCACGAGAAAGGGGAGCAAUCCCUGAGUAAAGUGGCGCACGGGUGAGUAACACGUGAAUCAUCUACCUCCGAGUGGGGAAUAACUGAGAGAAAUCUUAGCUAAUACCGCAUAACACUUACGAGUCAAAGACAGCAAUGCGCUUGGAGAGGAGUUCGCGGCCGAUUAGUUAGUUGGCGGGGUAAGUGGCCC
rnacentral:rRNA from 1 species